UACGGAGGGAGCUAGCGUUGUUCGGAAUUACUGGGCGUAAAGCGCGCGUAGGCGGCUUUGUAAGUUAGAGGUGAAAGCCCGGAGCUCAACUCCGGAACUGCCUUUAAAACUGCAUCGCUUGAAUCCAGGAGAGGUGAGUGGAAUUCCGAGUGUAGAGGUGAAAUUCGUAGAUAUUCGGAAGAAACACCAGUGGCGAAGGGCGGCUCACUGGACUGGUAUUGACGGCUG
rnacentral:rRNA from 1 species